AUUGAACGCUGGCGGUAGGCCUAACACAUGCAAGUCGAACGCGAAAGUCCUUCGGGAUGAGUAGAGUGGCGGACGGGUGAGUAACGCGUAGGAAUCUAUCCUGUAGUGGGGGAUAACGUUUCGAAAGGAACGCUAAUACCGCAUACGCCCUACGGGGAAAGCGGGGGAUCUUCGGACCUCGUGCUAGAGGAGGAGCCUGCGUCGGAUUAGCUAGUUGGUGAGGUAAAGGCUCACCAAGGCGACGAUCCGUAGCUGGUCUGAGAGGAUGAUCAGCCACACCGGAACUGAGACACGGUCCGGACUCCUACGGGAGGCAGCAGUGGGGAAUAUUGCGCAAUGGGCGAAAGCCUGACGCAGCCAUACCGCGUGUGUGAAGAAGGCCUUCGGGUUGUUAAAGCACUUUCAGUGGGAGGGAAAGACUGGUUGGCGUAAUAUACCAUCGGCCGUGACGCUA
rnacentral:rRNA from 1 species